GAACGCGAAGAACCUUACCUGGGCUUGACAUACACCGGAUCGCUGCAGAGAUGUAGUUUCCCUUGUGGCUGGUGUACAGGUGGUGCAUGGUUGUCGUCAGCUCGUGUCGUGAGAUGUUGGGUUAAGCCCCGCAACGAGCGCAACCCUUGUCUUAUGUUGCCAGCAUUUGGUUGGGGACUCAUGAGAGACUGCCGGGGUUAACUCGGAGGAAGGUGGGGAUGACGUCAAAUCAUCAUGCCCCUUAUGUCCAGGGCUUCACACAUGCUACAAUGGUCGGUACAACGCGCAGCGAGCCUGUGAGGGUGAGCGAAUCGCUCUAAAGCCGGUCGUAGUUCGGAUUGGGGUCUGCAACUCGACCCCAUGAAGUCGGAGUCGCUAGUAAUCGCAGAUCAGCAACGCUGCGGUGAAUACGUUCCCGGGUCUUGUACACACC
rnacentral:rRNA from 1 species